UACGGAGGGUGCAAGCGUUAUCCGGAUUCACUGGGUUUAAAGGGUGCGUAGGUGGGGUGGUAAGUCAGUGGUGAAAUCUCCGAGCUUAACUUGGAAACUGCCAUUGAUACUAUCAUUCUUGAAUAUUGUGGAGGUCAGCGGAACAUGUCAUGUAGCGGUGAAAUGCUUAGAUAUGACAUAGAACACCAAUUGCGAAGGCAGCUGGCCACACAUAUAUUGACACUGAGGCACGAAAGCGUGGGGAUCAAACAGG
rnacentral:rRNA from 1 species